UACGUAGGCAGCGAGCGUUGUUCGGAGUUACUGGGCGUAAAGCGUGCGUAGGCGGUGUCUUAGGUUUGUUGUGAAAUCUCCCGGCUUAACCGGGAGGGUGCGGCGAAUACUGAGAUGCUGGAGUGCCGGAGAGGUAAGCGGAAUUCCUGGUGUAGCGGUGAAAUGCGUAGAUAUCAGGAGGAACACCUGCGGUGUAGACGGCUUACUGGACGGUAACUGACGCUGAGGCACGAAAGCGUGGGUAGCAAACAGG
rnacentral:rRNA from 1 species